GCAACUUACUUCCACCUCUUUUCUUUCUUUUCAUCACUCCUUCCACCCCUUCAUCUUUUAUCAACCACAAAUCCUAACCUACCAUUCUUCUGAUUCUAAUGCUUCGCCGUAAGCCUCGCGACUAUAUCGGGAAACAGGAACAAAAGCAUGGAAACAAAUCGAAUCUAAACAAAUAGACAUGUAAAUCGUGCAGGUCAAUGAGAGAAAAUUUCUGAUCUAAACCCCUGUAUACUGUAGCCGACAAAUGAGAGAAAGAAGCGCAGGUUCUUGAUCACAAUCUUGAAUAAGACUUCCGGAUGGCGUUCUUCAAGCGAUCCGAUUCAGUGGUGGAAGAUUUGAACGAGUUCGAUGGCAUUCAUUGGUUCAGGAUUUCCGCGGCGCCAAAUCUUCAUCAGGGAUCAUCAAUUCAAUCCGGGAGCAAUUUCGGAGGGCGGUGAGCAAGGAUUUCUCUCUCUGUGGCAGCUUCUGAUUGGCGGUGGUGCAAUUUCUUCUGGCCGACGAUUUCUAUUCAGUCGUGGUAGCUUCUUGGGCGGUUGGUUAGUUAAUUCUGGGCAGUAAUUCUUGUUUCAGUAGCAUUCGAAAACAAACUUUGCUUGUUUCCUUUCUUAAUUUCCGUAGCUAUUCAUAACUAUUCCUUCAAUUCCAAUUUUGUUGAGUA